GUUUCUAUGGUGUAGAUCGGCACAUUAGAUUUUCAUUCUAAAGGUAUAAAGUAGUUUAUUAGAAAUA
rnacentral:tRNA from 1 species